rnacentral:rRNA from 1 species
ACAUACGACCACAGACUGAGGAGAAUUGGGCAUCCCGUCCGCUCUGCCAUACACAAGCCUCAGAUCGGUAGAUUAGUAGUUGGGUGGGUGACCACCAGCGAAUCCCUGCUGUUGUAUGUC